GGGAAAUGUAGUGUGAGCAACGGCCGCUGAGGGGCGCCCGCGGCUCUGGAACGCGGACCUAGUUGGUAUUCCAUUGCCUCUGCUCACAGAGCAGAAAAAUGAGUCAUUAGUGUGUGAAGGCGCUGAGAACUCCUUGAGCCUCAAACCUGUGGUCUUGACCAUUGUGCUGGGUUUCCUGGGAAGAUACACCAUAACAGUGGAUCAUGUUUUGCUAACUCCAGUGAUUUCAAUUCAUCCGGCUAGAAAGCACAUCCUCAAAGCAUAGAGAUAUUUUCCACUUCAGUUUCUCAGGACUGUGAAAGAAGGUCACAAAUCCCAUUCAUCAGAAAUCUGGGACCAUUGCACAGAGCUUUUAACUUUCUCGAGGAGAAGAAACAGGACAACGUGUACCCUGUGUAUUGAGAAUGGAUGACCUUGGGUUGCAGUGGAUUCCUUCCUGUGGUGACCAAUAACACACAUUUCAUUUGCCUGCUCUGCAGAUCUGUUGCCUCUCAUAAAAUUAUUGCUUAAAAGGCUUUUUAAAAAUAAGUGAAUUUGAAGGGGACAUAAUAUGCCAUUGACCUUUCCUCCUGUUUUCUGGACGUGACUCCCCUUCCCAGAAACCCCCUUCUCAUAACUGCUGCAGCACCCGCUCUCAUGCUGCUUGUUUCCUUUGCCUGGACAUUUCCUUCCCUUCGUCCUUCCCUUUAUGCGUAGCAAAUCCCGACUCAUGCUUCAGCAUCUCCUCUGCAAAGUCUUACCUGAGAUGCUCAGACAGUCCCCUAGCUCUUUCCAACGUUCCUACGGCUGGCUGAGGUAACACAUGCUCUGCAACCAAGCGGACCUGGAGUCGGGUCCCAGCUCUGCUGAUUUGAGCUAAGUAACCCCUGGCGGAUGACUUCACCUCUCUCUGGGGCUCCUUAUCUGCAGCAGGAGGAGGUGGAGGCCCUCACGAACCUGGUAGGACUGUUCUAGGACUGUGCGUGCAAAGCACAGGGAAGCACACAGUAAGUGGAACUCUUAUUAUGUGAACACCCUUCUUUUAAUACCCAGUAUUUUAUGAUAAUUUGUUUUCAUGUCUGGCUUUUCCACUAGACCGUAAGCAAGACAAGAGUCAAAGCUUUAUUCUUGGUGGUUUUUUUUUUUAAACUCUUUAAGUCAUCUUUAUUGAGGCAUAAUUUACAUGAAAUAAAAUGCAUCCAUUUGAAAAUGUACAGUGCAAUAGUCCAAUAAGUGUAUACACCUAUGCAACCACAACCCCAUCACGGUUUAGAACAUUUUCAUCCCCCAGAGAUCCCCGUCACACCCUUUUACAGUCAAUCUCCAUCCAACCCUGACCCCAGACAACCACUGACCUGCUUUGUGUCACUAUAGCUUAGUUUUGCCCAUUCUAGAAUUUCCUAUAAAUGGAAUCCUACAGCAGGUACUCUCUUGUGUCUGGCUUCCCUCAGUUACCCAUGCUGUGGCAUAUAACAGUCGUUCAUUUCCUUUUUAAUUACUGAGUAUUAUUCUGUCAGAUGAAUAUACCACAAUCUUUUUAUCCAUGCACAUGUUGAUGGACAUUUGGGCUGUUGGAACUAUGAUUAAUAAAGCUGCAAUGAACAUUUUUAUACAGA